GUGCCAGCCGCCGCGGUAAUACGUAGGGUGCGAGCGUUAAUCGGAAUUACUGGGCGUAAAGCGUGCGCAGGCGGUUGUGCAAGACAGAUGUGAAAUCCCCGGGCUUAACCUGGGAACUGCAUUUGUGACUGCACGGCUGGAGUGCGGCAGAGGGGGAUGGAAUUCCGCGUGUAGCAGUGAAAUGCGUAGAUAUGCGGAGGAACACCGAUGGCGAAGGCAAUCCCCUGGGCCUGCACUGACGCUCAUGCACGAAAGCGUGGGGAGCAAACAGGAUUAGAUACCCUGGUAGUCCACGCCCUAAACGAUGUCAACUGGUUGUUGGGAGGGUUACUUCUCAGUAACGAAGCUAACGCGUGAAGUUGACCGCCUGGGGAGUACGGCCGCAAGGUUGAAACUCAAAUAAAUUGACGG
rnacentral:rRNA from 1 species